GCACUGCUGAGGAGUCCCACAAUAGGACGGAGCGGCCGCCCAGUGC
rfam:Schistosoma mattheei strain Denwood, Zambia genome assembly, scaffold: SMTD_scaffold0019530